rnacentral:rRNA from 1 species
CUCCUACGGGAGGCAGCAGUGGGGAAUAUUGGACAAUGGGCGCAAGCUUGAUCCAGCCAUGCCGCGUGAGUGACGAAGGCCUUAGGGUUGUAAAGCUCUUUUGUCAGGGAAGAAACGGUGUGGGCUAAUAUCUUGCACUAAUGACGGUACCUGAAGAAUAAGCACCGGCUAACUACGUGCCAGCAGCCGCGGUAAUACGUAGGGUGCAAGCGUUAAUCGGAAUUACUGGGCGUAAAGCGUGCGCAGGCGGUUUUGUAAGUUUGUCGUGAAAGCCCCGGGCUCAACCUGGGAAUUGCGAUGAAGACUGCAAGGCUUGAAUCUGGCAGAGGGGGGUAGAAUUCCACGUGUAGCAGUGAAAUGCGUAGAGAUGUGGAGGAACACCGAUGGCGAAGGCAGCCCCCUGGGUCAAGAUUGACGCUCAUGCACGAAAGCGUGGGGAGCAAACAGGAUUAGAUACCCUGGUAGUCCACGCCCUAAACGAUGUCUACUAGUUGUCGGGUUUUAAUUAACUUGGUAACGCA